UUAUUUGCUCCGCUUUACAAUGGGACUCUGGCCGUCUCAUGGGCCUCUGCUGGUGCUAAGCCCCACUGCUCUUGAAAUGUAGAAGCUGAAAGAAAAAGAAAAGGUAAGUCUACGAAAGAGCCAGAAGGAAGUGUUGCCUUUUCCUGGGUCCGAGCUGGAGAAGAGUCACUCUGGUGAUUUUCUCUCCUCAUACCCAGCCCAUGAAAAGUCUCCCUAAGAUGAGGAGGUAGAGGAGGGGAAAGAAAAGGUUAAAGGAAAAUGGACAGCCAUAAAAAGAUUUAUAAUUCACUUUUGAAAUAAAUCAGCAGAGGGAGGCGCGACCUGCCAUGGGCUCUGAGGGCCCGGGGACCCCACACUGACUAAUGUGCGGCGGCCCAUUUUGAUCUGCACCGAAAUUAACCAUCAGUCAGCCACUUUAUGAAAUAUUAUCUUUGUUAGCUUUACCACUAACAAAAAUACACUUCCAAUUUUUCACAUCCAUACACUACAUCUAUUAAAGCAAUCUGGGAAAUUAGUUUGAGAUAAACUGUACAGCAAUUUUAUUCAUAACUUCCCCGUAUCUCACACUGUUAAUCUACAUCACAGCUCACUAAAUAGUGCCUAAUGUUUAUUGCAUUUAACUGAAUGUAUACAAUUCUGAGGGUACGCCAGGGACCGAUUAUCAUAAUUAUACAUGUUUCUAUGGAAACCCACAAGUCUAUCAGUUUUGAUUCAUUAUAUUGUUAUACCUUCUAGCACUUUCUAAUUAUUAGGUGCCCAUAAAAAGUCUCUGUCUUGCUGUUACUAUAGAAAUGAGCUAUAGACAGGCCUCAAUCGUUAACCCUUUAAGGACCAAAAUAUAUAUAGCCUCAGACAGCUGGUAGCUUUUUGAGUAACUGAAAUAGCUAAUAAUUUCGUCUAGUCCUUAAAUUCAUGGUUGAUUUUAUGGAAAUUUCUGAAAAUAUUUCAUGUGGGUAAUUCAUGAACAAUUGCCUCCGAUUUUGUAAAACUGUCCUGACUCUGAGGUUCCCCAUCCUGGACGAAGCCCUGCAGGUAUGAGAAGAGCCACACAAGCCACACUGAACGGUACCACUCAGCGCUAGUGAGCCUGCAGCUCAAAAUCAGAAGUCUUCCAGGACUGAUUUCUUAUUUCCUGGAUAAAGAUGCAUGUGCUGGUUGGUGUAAACAUAGAAUUCUAUGCUAAGCGCAAAAACAGAUAACCUAGGACCUCGCAGCAAAAACUCAGAUGCACUGAGCGCCUUUAAAUCAAGCAUCUGCAAUGGCUUCAGAGCAAUAUGGCUCUUUAUGUAUAAUUUAAUAUUGCUCCUUAAAUUGCAAUUUGUAAUUUAAUAUUUUCCUUUUCCUUUUUCUCCUAGAUUCACUAGCAGAAUCCUGUGGAAAUUGAAAGGGACUGAGCCGUUUCAUUGUCUCUCUAACCCUCCUGCUAUUAUAGUUUUCAAUUAGAAGUGCCUUUUAAUUUAGAUCAGGAAAGCUCUCCUAAAGUGACAGCUCGCUCUUCACACUGCAUAUCUAUUUAUUUCGGAAGUCAACACACCAUUCAAUAACCUGAGAACAGCCCUGAUUGCUAUGCUAAUAGUAUUCAGAAAUAUGUCGACACCGAUCGAAACAAGUAAACUAAGGCUAAUUCAUAAAGUGAAUAAUAAAAGGCAAAGGAAAGCCUUUCAUAUCCUCUACUACUUCAGCUGGAAUCUUAAGCUUACAAAUUUAAUUUUUUCCCUCCCGUAGGGAAAUGAACACUAUAUGAUAACCAAACUGAAAUUAGAUUUUACUUAAUAUUACAGCCUUGCCUCUUUGACGCGGCUUGUUUUAUUAUAUAAAGCUGCAGUGGAAAGCAGCAGAGACAAUGACCGGGUAUGUUAAUGCUGGUGUGAUCUAGAAGAUGCUUGCUUCAGCCAGAGCUCUCUUCAGCUCAAAGCUAAAUGCGUUUUGCUUUUCGAGGUGGGGGGAGGAGAGGGGAGCCAUACGAAUUUUAAACGGAUGCCCACAUGAAAAACAACAGCACAUGUUAGGGAACCAUUUUCUUCAUCUUCCAAGCCCAAACCAGCAAUGUCCACAGCAGCUCCCGGCCAAUUAGGAAGAAAUCAGACUCGAUCAGGAACAAAAGGUCCAUUUAACAUAGACACGUGGGCCUUUUACCUAUCAACUGCCACUAGGGUCCUGGGCAAGGCGGGGCUACAAAAAUAAAGCAAUCAAGGAGCCACUUCCUCAUUCACAUGGGCUUGAAGAGAGAUGAGACCUCUGUGGAGCCAUCGUUAGUGUGCCUCUGGCCAGCAGGGGGUGCCAAGAAGAGGACCGACUUGCACCUUGUGUUUGUAAGGAUUUACACCCAGCCCCAGGAAAGCAGAGGACCUGGAACUGAGGGGUGGUGUGCGGACUACUAGAAAAGGAGAUCUUGAACUCUCUGGAGAGGUCUUUAAAGAUUUGCGAGGAUCAGUAGGAAUUCCUAUCAGAAUGCACUGUGUGAAUGAUUAGAUAGGAAAAUUGAUGUUUUAAAAAUUUAAGUUCAAAACAUAACCUUUCCUAAAUCUGCUAUACAGAUUUAAUUUUUAUAUAUCCUGCACUCAAAAGAUUCACAUGGAUUAGUUUCUCUUCUCUUUGUGCAGAGUGCGUUAGCGUUUAUUAAGUUGAAUUCAAAUGACUGUUCUCUAGAUGCUGUUUCCAUUCAGUAUAUAGCAGUGGUUCCCCCUAAUGCUUUCUUAGCACCAUAGAAUGAAUUCAAAAGGACACCAGGUCAUUAUUUUACAAUUCCAUUUCAUGUAUGCAUCAGAAUAUUCUGCCUCACACACGUAAGCAGGCAAGCAGCUAUUAAAUUAAAAUGUGAUGCCAAAUUCACUUGAAAAGAACUGUGGAGAACAAGGUAAUGACCUCCUAUCACCUUCCCCAAAUAUUGUGUGGCUAGUCAGGGAUUUAUAGUUGGGGGUUUAUAUUAUGUGGAAUAAUUUGCACAUUUCUGGCUUGCGAGCUUGAAAUCUUCGAAUCUUUGAUGCCUGUGACUGGUAGUUUUUACCUUUGCAAAUUCUUUGGUAUGCAACCAGUGCUGCCUGAUACACAGAGUUGACUAAAUAUUUAUCAAAUAUUCAUACAGUUACUCAGCGGAUUAAUUAUUGAACAAGCUUCCACUCAACCAUCUUUCUUUUCGCUAUAGCUAAUUCUCCAUUGCUCCAUUGACAUAUGUUCUGGGGAAGGACAGAAAUAGCCAACUCAGCAAAUUUUAUUCCUUUCAAGGUUAUGCAUUAAAGUGUGAGAAAGUCAGAACAUAUGGAAAACCCACACCCUGGAUUUGGCUGGCUUAAAAGUUUACAGAUGAACCUCCUAAUGGGAAACCCAGGAUGGCUUUAUUCCCAUUUUACAGAGGAGGCAGAUGAGGCUCUGACCUACCAGUGGACUUUCCCAAAUUCACACAGCAGAUAAGUGGCACAUUGACACUGGAACAUGUGUUCUGUUUUAGGUGGUAUAGAAUAGCUACAUAUAUUAAGGGGAAAAAAAUGGAAACAUUUGCUAUUUGGAUAAAUAGUUUCUUAUUUUAGCAAUGUUUUCAGCAUUUUCUGUAAUCAGAAUUGAGAUAAUACUAUGCAUAAUUCUUCUCUUGUUUUUGAUAGACUCUAUCAACAAAGUUACUGUUUCUAUAAACCAGAGAAGAAGCAAGGGGCGGGGGAAGCUCUGAAAUCUUUGUCUUUGCCUAGAGAAGCACUGGGACAAUCAGAAGCAGGAUGAGCAGAUCUUCAGUGAUAAAAUGAUCACCUCAUCACUACCAAUCAGUCCUCAACAACUUGGUAACUUUAGAGAGGAUUAUAGAAAUGAGAAAGGUUAAGGGGGUGGUGGUGGGAGGAAACCACUUUCUGUCAAUAUUCAACUGUGGCAUAGUCUUAAAUAAUAGGAUUCUCUUUAGGAUCUCUAACCUGGAAUUUGCAAUCCUCACAAGAAUAUCAAUUCCUUUACAGAGUUUGAAUUUUACUUUCACUUAGAUCUAGGUAAUUUUUAUCUCCUUUGUAGAAGAAGGAUCUCAAACUACCAUGUCAUCAUGCAUCUCAGCAUAUCUAUAUUCAAAUCCAGUGCAUUUCCCUUUAGUUGGGUCGCCAAGGGUUUUGUUCCCCCCCCACUAAACUUUCUUAACAAAAUAUUAUAGUGUAUUUCUAAAGCAACAUCUCUUAAUUUUUCCCUAACAACAUUAUCAUAAUUACCCAUUUUGAUGUAUGCUUAAAAUAGUAAAAAUAGGAAUUUUAAAAAUAUUCUUGGGAUCACAGUAAAUAAAUAUAUCGAAACAAAACAUCUGAACACAUUUCCAGACUAUCCUUUUGUAAGAAAUAGUUAAAAACAAAUUAUUUUCUAUUUAUGUGAUAAUUAAUAUCUAUUAUAAAUAGGUAAGGAUUUCAAGGUUAGUGACCAACCAUUAAUUACUAAUGUAUUGCUUCAAAUAAAUAAUAAUAUAGGUUCUUUACAACAUCAUCAGCAGAUGUGUUCAUGUUGUAAAACACAGACGGUAUAUUUAAUUACUUGUAAGUAAUACAAAUGCUUGACAUAAACUCUUGAGACUUCAGAUGUGGAGAUGGUUUGUGAAAAGCUUUGAAAUCCACUGGCACACGCCAUUCUUUCAUUCAAGACAAAUAUGUGGGCGAAUCAGCAGGAGUCCAUUCUGGCUUCCAGAGAGUGCCCUGGAGCUGUCCACAGGAAGGUGCUGGAAAAGGCAGCCGCAGAUGGUCCAGGUACACAAUUAUUUCAGCCUGGAAUGCAGCAGAAUAAUCAGACUCGUGUGAGAGGCUUGCUACAGUGUACAUGACCUGGAAACUGCUUCAUGAAGGUUUUCAGGGCCACCUUCAAUUUCCUUUGAUAAUUAUAAAGAGAAGACGCUUUUUCUAAGAAAUAGGGAGAAGAGUCAAGACAAGGAAUCAUUUAUUGAAUCUUAGAGAUUUAAAUGACAUUCCUAAUAGGUACCUGAUGAAUUGCUAAAUAACUGACAUUUUAUUCCAGAAUAUUUCGGUUCAUUAUUGAAGAAUGUAAGUUCAGACUCUGUGGAUUUUCCUAGUAUUUCCAACUCCAUAUUGGAAAAUCAAAACGUCAUUUAAAAAAUCAGCUAUUUGCCCCCAAAAGAAUUGCCCUCCUAGUACACUGAAAAGAAAGAGGACAAAAGGAUUUGUAGUUUUAGCAAUGUACAAGGACUGACUUUCAGAUCCGUGGUAAAGGUCAGGUGUAAUAUUCAAAAACAAAUUAAAAGGCAGCCAUUCUAUUGGACUCAGAAGAUUCCAGCAAGCGUUGGGCACCCAUGGGCAUUGGCUCAGAAUGUGUUUAUUGUGAUCACACCCCAGAUGAUGCUGCAAGCACUAUUAAGGACCCUAUUCACCACCAUCCUUCUUGCAUUAUGUAUGCAGUUAUUGUUUUGCAUUAUGCACUAUCUAAAAUGAUACAAAAACAUUUUGCUGAAAAAUAAACCACUGGUUUUAUGCUUAACACCAGGAUUACAAAAUGUGAUGUCAUGAAUUAUUCAUAUCAUUCGAUUUAAUGUAAUCAUUUUCUCCCCAGCGCUAAGCCUCUGUGAAUGGUGUCCUAUGCAGCCACUGUUUUGAAGAACUUAAUACUAGGAGGAGAAACACCUGGCAUUAACUGACAGUGAAUUAGGCUCAUUGUCACUUUGGAAAAAAAAUUGCAAUUUAAUCUUUGAUCUUCUGUACAUCCUAAUUCCAAGAAACAUUUAUCAGCACUGCAAAAUGAACCAACCUUAGGAAUUUAUGGAAAUAUUGACCUUGACAUUUAGACACAGACAUAUAUAAAAGUACACAUACAUUUGAAAUUUGAACUACAGAAUUCAUCUUUGUUUCUUUCAAAGUAAUAGUGGGAUCUAUUUUGGAUGGGUUUACACUAAUAGCAAAUAGAUUUUGAUACACAUUUAUAAUUUAUUUAGAUCAAAUCUUCCAAAGAAGGACUGACCUUAGGACAAAGCAUGUUGAGGAAGAUAAAUACAUCAAUGCAACUCAGCCUGCAGAUUAAAGUAAUUUAUCUUCAAGGCAGUCCAAAAAAAAAAAAAAAACAAAAAAACAAGAGGAAAGAAUGCUUCUGAAUGUUUUAAAUUUUUUAGAGAAAGUACAAACAUUGGCUUAAAGCUGGUAGAAACAACUUUUAAAAGUCAGAAUCCCCUUCUAGUGGCCUAUCUUUGACUUUUAACCCAUGUUUUAAUGGGAAAAGUUAUACCAAAUGCUUCUAUUUCUCUUAAAUUAGAUAAUGCUUAAUUCUAGGAUUGAAUAUAUAACCGUGUUAUUAGGGAGAAGAGCAAAAAUCCAGCAAAUCUGAUUCCUAAUCCGAGCCCCUUCCAAAGUCCAGCUCCCGAGUUUCUCAAAGUGAUGUUAUCACGUACCCUAUCACCUCAGGAUAGGGCAGGGAGACCCAAGUGACCUAAUAUGAGAUAAUAAAACACAUCCAAAAUGUCGAAAAUGCUCAAGUGAUCGACAGGUAUGAGGAGUUAUUAUUUAAAGCCGAAAACAUCUAUAACUCUGUACACAUUUGUAAUCUACAAAAGCGUCAGAAUGGAUAAGAAAAGAUACUUAAAGGUAUCCACAAAAAAGGUUUUACAAAAGAAAUUGACUCAAUAAGGAAAAAGAGCAACAUGUAUAGCAAUUUAAGGAAUUAAAUGGCACCCAACUCUAUAUGGAAUAACUCACCCAGAUAAUUAGGAACAGAAAGAAAAGUUUGUACAUAGUGUCAGACAAGAUCACAAUUACAUUUCCAGGGCAGUUUUUAUCUCCCAUGGCACCUAAUGUAGCAUCGUGCACACAGUUGGGACUCAGCCUCUGUGGCCUGACUGAUAAUGAAGACAGCUACCAUGGUCAACCAGUAAAUGAACGUUCAUUUUUUUAUAAGGUCAAUGUGAAAUCUGUCGACUGCUCCUCUGUGAUAACACAUGCCUGAAAAAAAACUUGAAACUCAAACUUUACCAAAUAAUAACAAUUGACAAUGUUCACUGCUUUUCAAAAUAGCAGAGGGGUAUUUACUGGUGGGGCGGGGUGGGUGAGGUGUAAGGCAGGCGGAGCAAUGGGGGAAAGUAUUCCUUCAACUAAUGGUGAAUUGAUUUGCUUCUAUAACAUACUCUCUUUUCUACUUAAUAGCCUAGGUGAAGGAAAAUUUCUCUCUCCCCUAAAUAACAACUGAUAGGCAUUUUGUCUAUUAAUCCUAAUAGCACGCUUCAACUAGUCUCAUUAACAUCGUGAACUGGGCGAGAAGAAACUGUGUCACGUUAUAAGAGCUGCCUUCCUUUCAUUUCAAGAGCACCUUGACCUUCCCCAGCAUCAGGUGCUCCAAUCCCUGUUCUCACUGCUUCUCAGGUCUCCAGAGAGUCCCUCGACACAGGUUGGUCCCCAGAGACAGUCUGCACAGGAAGCCUCUGGGGUCAGCUUUUCAUUUGCUCGCUUACACAUGUACUCACGCUUUAAAAAAAUUAUCAUGGAUUCAAAUCCAAAAAGGGUUUGCGCUUUAAAAAAAAAAAAAAAAGGAAAAUCUGGAGAACUGAGCACCAGAGCUGGUGCUUUAAGCCUCUCGGUGAAGCUACAGCCUAAUUACUGCCUGCUGCGUGGCGCAGUUAAACACAAUCAGUCAGAAAGCCUUAAAGAUACAAUAUCCCUUUUCACAAACUGUCUGCUUGUCAAUUCCAAGUCACCCCCCUGCUUUAAAUCAACCAACCACAGAGCUGUUAUGAACAGCAACCGAUUUUCCACGCAGUGCUGCAAAACAAAAUCACACCGUAUCCUAUUUUUAAUGGCCACAGUUUUUCAACUACAUAACAAGAGUUAGCUGGCACUGCUGAGCUGAACGGUAUCAAAAAAAUGGGUUCAAGUAGAAAUAGCAUGGAACCCUUGAAGUGAACAAGUACAGACCCAAUUACAAGUGUAUUGUGAUGCUUAGUACCAAUUACAUCCAAAUAACAGUGGAGCAAAUUCCUCCUUAAUAGUUAUAUUGUAGAUACCAACUUCUUUUAUUUUUGUUCCUCUGGGAUACAGCUUGAUACUGAAAAGGGGGAAAAGGCUGAAUCAUAAAGAUUAUUUUAUUAACACACAGUCUAUUUAUGUGCAAAGGCUUUCCUAUGAUGUCAGCUUACAGACGUGGUACCUUGGUCACCGCAGAGAGAAGUGUUCUGCUUCUUUUCUUCGGAAUUUAUAGUUUGUCAGGAAUUUCACUUGGGAAAAUCAGAUUUUCUUCCUUGUGUAUUGUCAUUAGAAACAACAUUUCCUCAAACAAUACUCUUUUCAAUUAUUUGAGCCUUAGGGAUAUAAACAGACAGUACCAGGGAUUCCCCCCCCCCUCCCCUUUUAAAGGAAACCUAGCCCCAUCUCCAAAGUAGAGGAUAAAAUUAAGUAUUUCAUGAAUUAAGGAAGGUGCAACUUGGGCCCCUAGGGGUUGAUAUAUGACAGAUGCCUUAAAAGCCAGGGGAAAAAAAAGAAGAAGAAGAAAGGGAAAUCUUAAAACGAAUGAGGCUGAAUGGGAGUUGAAGAGAUGGAAAAGAAAAUGCAAACACCAAAUCGGUCCUUAAAACCGGGAGAAAAGAAGAAGCUGGGAGACCAGAUUCAACAAGGCAAAGCAAGAAAGUGUAGCUCUAGCAUAUAUGCGGUGUUUCACUGACUAUCAGAGAAUCAGAGAAACGAGGCCUGUUCAAUAUCUUCCGUCCAGCCCCGGACCACACCCUGCCCUAGUGGUCACCCUCCCUCUGCUGGCACGUUCUGCCACAGCAGCCAGCGUGCACUUAUUCCUUGGGUGUUAACUUCACUUUUGAUUUCCUCCAGGCCAACUCGGGCACUAGCAUCCAAGUAGCAGAGUCCGCAUCUUUCCAAGGCUGACCACUGGGGCUUGAGGAGGGUAGCAAGAGAAAUUAAUGAUGUCUCCAGGGCUUUAUCAACAUGCUUCAGAGAAUAGGAGCACAGUUGGGAGCGAAUAGAGCCUUCUUUCUUUGCCCCUUUGCUCUGUCCAUUUUCUCUUUAUUCAGAACCAUGGGAUGGAGCAUGUGGUCCAAUAUCUCCUCCCAGCUGAGUACCCUUUGCUCUCUCCUCUUUUCUGAUUUAGUGUGAGCUCCCGCCCAAAACACAGUGAAACAAAACAGGCUAAUAGGUGGAAGAGAACAUGUAAGUUCUUUAAACGUAUUCAUCUGGAGUAAACGGUAAACAUGCCACUAGCACCAAAGAAAUGUAAGAAAGCUCCCCACCUAUCUAACCCUCUCAUUUUCAAGAUGAGGAAACUGAGGCCUGGGGUGAAUGUGAAUUCUAUGGCACAUCUGUCGUCAGCAAGCAGCCGCAUCAAGAGCCGUGACACCUGACACUGAUUCCAAGACCUGCGCCAGCAUGGGGAAUGCUAUUUAUUGUACAUAGUGACUCACAAAUCUAGGUUAUGUGAACUAUAAAAAGCCUGACUCAGAACUCUAGAGAGCAAGGAGCUAAUACUGCCUGAUAUAUAGGCCAUAGAUUGGGUAGGAGGAUGUUUGUAGGAUUAUUUUUCAAGGCAGCAUGAUCCAAGCAGCACUGAAUAGAGUCACACGUCCACUAAUAAGCAGUUGUCAGGAGUUUCAUAACAUUAACCAAAUAAUACUUGUGAUGACAGCAUACAGACUUCCGGGCAGUUAUGAUGCAAGGGAGGGAGAAUCAGGGCCAGAGCUGAGGUGGGGGGGCGGGGAGGUGAACUUGUGAUGGGAAAGAGGACAGGAGGACGCAAAACCCCAGACCCCCAGCAACUUAGGACUGAGUCUUUGUCAAUCUCCGAGGACUCUCUCUUUGUCUCUCUGGAAGGUCAGGGAAAAAAGUUACGAACAUCUCCACUGCCCCACUUCAGUCAGCAUCACCCCCAAAAUGUUAAAUCAGGUCCACCUUCAGGACCUUUGAAUGACUUCAGCCCUUCUUGCCUUGCCUCAAAUUUCCCCACCCUUUGUCAAUAGCUGACAUUCCUUUAGACACUGAGAGCUGAAAUGACCUAAAAUGCAAAUGCUUGCAUGAGGUAAUGUUUAAACAGGGAAAUAAAAAAUAGAACAAGUCCAUCAGAAGGCAAAGACUGAUAUGUGAUCUUUUCCUGUUUUGACGGAGGAAAGUCUCUAAACAGAAGGACGGUACUGGCUACCUCAUGUAGGGGGACAAAGACUAAGUUUGGUUUUUGGUGGUUUUUUUUUUAAAAAAGGAGCUGAAGACAGAACAUUUCAGCCGCAGCAAAACACAGCAGGGGUGAAGAGGGAGGCCUAGUAUCAAGUGUAUUUUAAUCUGCAGCUAGGAAAAUGGGGUUUUAUCCUCAAAUGAUUUAGGGAGAUCUUUGUGGGAGUGUUUUGAAGAUGUUAUGGGGAGUUUUAUUGUUUGCUGCUUCUGUUGUUUUUAACAUCGCUUGCUUCCUAUAAAGAGCAAUUUUUCCUUCAGGGGAUUCUCUCCCUGUAACUAUAUUGACUUAAUUCUGAAGCACCAAUGCAAUUAAAAGACGCUUCUAAUUAAUAGGCAAUAGAAUGGUUGUAUGUGAAAGAUUUAAGCAGUUUAUGCUUGGUGCACUAAACGAAUCUGAACAAAGUCACAAAAGACAUCGGCGCUCCAUUAGAAUUUAUCAGCUGAGAUGCCUGGAAUAUUUUUCACACUGGAUAGUCACAGUGCUCCCUGCAUUUGGGAUUGGACCGAGAGGGAAAAAAAAGGUCGACAUCUUUCUCUGUACCAGUGGCAGUAAAACAGUUUCUCAUUUUAGCUGAGACGUGCCAACUACCAGAGCAAAAGCACCUUUACAGCAGGCAAGCUAUUUCUGACCUGCCAUAGCAAAACCUGACCAGUAUCACUGUGUUUGAUUUCCUAACAGGCUGCUAGGAUGGUGGGUCAGGCUCUGGGCUGGGGUCAGACUGCCUAGUUUCCAGUCUGGCUUUGGCCACGUACAAGAUGUAGAACCCUGGAUGGGGAACUUGUUCUCUCUGCUUCAAUGUCCUAUGCAAAGUGGGAUAAGAAUAGCCUUCCUUUUUCCUAAGGCGGUUGUGAAUUACGUAAGUUAACUCACGUCAGGAUCUCAGAAUGACAUCUUGCUGUGCCGUGAGCCCUCAUACAUUUUGUAUAAUGAGGAUUAUCUAGGCCCAUCAUUACAAAUCUGUGAUGAUGUUGAAGCUAUAGGACUAAGUAUAUUCCAUAUUUCAUGUGAUUCUAUUUUGUCCUGCGGAUCUAAUAAUGCAUGGUCAGGGACGAAGGGAAAGAGGUUCCAAACUCUCAUCCCCUAAAUAAAUAAAGUUCCCCAAUGUAAGGCUGCCGAAAUCAUUGCAAUUCUGCUUGCUCUUCCGUUAAUGCCAAUGAUUUCUGAGCACUUGAAAAAAGACCCCUGGUUACCCACAGAGGCUAAACAGAGUUAAUGUGAAAUACUGUGUCAUUUAUCACUUAUUUACUUUUAAAAGUAACAUCUUGGUAGGAGCUCCUUGGUGGCCUAGCAGUUAAGAAUUUGGCAUUGUUACAGCUAGGGCUCAAGUUUCCCUGACCCAGGAACUUCAGCACUCAGCGGGCAGGGCUAAAAAAAAUGGGGGGGCGGGGAGAGUAAUAUUCUCGGUAUUCUUAAUAAUGCAUGCAGUCUAUAUGUAAACUAGCAAGAAAAAAUAUUAUUUAGAGAUGAAAGUAUUUAAUCCCCUACCUACCACAAGACAUCUUAGAAAAGUAACAAAGGUACAGAGAAUUUUGGUCCUUGCAUAAGUUCAAGAUGAUAAAGUAUUAAAUACAGACACAAGGAGGCACAGGCGGUAAUUUGGCUAGUCUUGUUGGCUGCUCAGCUUUUGAAGUCUCGGCCAAUAUUUAGAGAAUUCUCCCCUUAUUUGGCACAGUGUGCCAUUUUUGCAGCAAUUGUAGGGACACAAGUCUCAUUACCAAGAGCUCAAAUGGGACGGGGUGGGUAGCUGCUCUGCAGCAUCUGGGCAGCAGCUGCUAUCAUUCUAGGGGCAGGUCCAGGCUCCAAGUUCUGUGGGGUAGGAAGUAAUGCUCUGGGGUCCAGGGCCCAGUGGCAGUGGUCUUGCCACCAGAAGCCACACUGAAACGUGACCUUGGGCUCCAUACCUGGCUGCAUAAAUUCUGAGGCUCACUCUCUAAGCCUGGUGGAGAUUUGUAAGCUAUCCAGUAUCUUUUUAGUACAUUUCCUUCCUCUCUACAUCAGUCCCAGUAAGUUUCUGUUGCUUACAACUAGGAACUCUGGAUCAGUAUGGUGGCCUGCUGGAGUUUUUCAACUCAGACAUUUUCAUAAAUCUUGAAAGGUAUGGAAUGAGGUGAAAUCAUGUAAGCAGCUUUCCCUGGCCUCUUCCUGAUCAGGACACACCUGGAAAUCACACACAUUUCUGAGGGCUAGGUAUUAGGAAAGAUACUGUUAACCUAGAACUUGAUCCUGGUAGGGCAAAGCUAGGCUAACAGUGUGGGAAAAGCUGUGAGAUAAGAAAGGAACUGAGGCUACUUCUCUAGAUUGCUGCUCCCAGGCUGAAAUAACACAGAAUAACUGUAAGCCCCUGUUCCUUCAGUGGUCCAAUAUGCUCCUUACCUAAAGGAAAUCUUACCUUCCCUAGAGGAAAUGCCCUUUCCAGUACACAACACCAUCCAUGCUCUGGAUGACGUUAAGCUGCAAAAUGAUGUCUGAUGUCCACUAGCAAUGACUUUUAAUCAUCCACACCACUAUCUAAUACAAAGGAGAGAGAAUAUUUGACAUCACAGGUAAAAGGUCAUGUGUUGCCACCAAUUUUUCUUCCCUAAGUUUUCAAAAUGGACUAUAUUCCACGCCUAGUAGGAACUCGAUCAAUACUGUUCUGAACUGAACUGAAUGAUGUCCAUGGCUCAAUUGAGCCAAGAACAUUUUUUCCAAUUUCUCAGCUUAUCAUCCUCACUGGUUCCCCGAUUCUGAGUUCACCUUCUUCCUGACCCUAAAUUCAUUGGCAUUGCUUUAAUCACUCCGUAUUCUUGGUCUAUCUCCUGCAGACAAGCACAUCUCAGUUUCAGGCUGACCCUGGAUCACUAGCUUUCUUUUACCAACUUUUUUUUAUCUUCCUUUUUCUCCAUCUAAUCUAAAACCCAGUAGUUCCCUCUUGCUCGAAUUUCUUUCUCAGGCCAGAGGCUCAGAAAAUAUUUGUUGAAUAAAUGAAUAAUUCACUAUCAUAUAAUGGCUAUUUUUUAAAACACUCAUUGACUUAAAAAAAGUUUAUCUUUUUUUCUGAUUAUUUCUUGAUGUUAAUGAGCACAUAUUUUAAACUCUUCUUGAGAAGAAAAAAAACCUAUUAUAUUUAAGAGCUUUCAAACAUUACUUACAUUUGUACUCAUUUCUAUUUUGAGUCAAAGAACAUGCCUAGAAAUAAGACUUAAAAGGCAGUAUGUGGUAAACAUUCCAUAAACUUUGAUAGCUCAUUUUCAAUGCUAUCAUUCACUGCUUAUCGUAGUCCUAAAAUUAUGUGAUAUAACAGUGAGAAUUAGAAUUGCUGUAGGCAAAGUUUGCAAAUAGGUGCCUCUUUUCAUAGCACUAAACAAAUGUGGAGGACUGUGGCCUUUAUUUAAAUAACCAGGGCCACUCUGACCUUAUAUAAAAAGAUGCUGGUUUUCCGUGAUUACGUAGGGACUUUCCCACUUUGCAUUUGAGCACCAGAAGUUCUAGGUAAGUCACAUAUAUGUCUUUCAUUUUAAACAUUCCGUCACAAAAUAUAGGGAAAUAAUACCACCUCCACUUUCCUCACAACUGCCCAGUUGUUUGAUAAGAUACAAAGAGCUGGAUUCAUCAAAGGGAUGACAGCAGAUAGCUUUAAAAAAUUUUAUCCACUAAAAAAAAAAGCAUUUCUAUUAAUUUUUAUCUUUCUUCCUUCAAAUAUUAAUGAAUAGUUCCAGUGAUAAUUAGCAAUUUUCCCUAAUUACAGAAAAUUGGCACUUUGCAAAUAACAAACUCUGAUAUUAUCUAGUAUUGUGCCAGUUUUCCUAUUAAUUUGGAAAUUCAGCAAUUAUCACCAGAACUAUGUAGGUUAAAGUGUGUCAGAUUCUGGAUAAACAGCUGACAAUACCAAGUAAUACAAGGUUCAGUGUCAAGGAAAGUUCAAUAUUGGCAUUUAAAGAAAAAAAAUAUUAGUGACUACCCUUCGCUAUUGCGGCUCUGUGGGAAGGCUUUCCAAGGUUGUUUUAUUUCAGCCUAGCCCCUGCAGAUGACAUCUGUUGCAGAACCUGGAUAGUUUGCCUCAUUGUCAGUGGGAAGAAAACAGCAACAAAAACAUAAACUCUCAAAUUGGAAAGCAGCAUAUACAAAAGUGCUGUAUCAGGUCUUAAGCAGACACUGAUAUUAAUUUUUGUUUCUGGAGAGAGAAAUGCUCCAGUACCUCUGUUGGGUGAGAAAUAACUGACACACUCAUGUACUUAUCAAUUCCUAGCAUGCAAAUAUUGUGACUGACUGCAAACCAAUCCUUAUAGAAAUAGUGUUCUUGGGGUACCUUGAUGUUAAGAAGUCAGGAACUGGAGAAAUGCAUUAUGUCAUAGUUCACUUUGGAAUAGCUUGUUUCAAGCUGGCUCAUCACAAGUCCCGAAUUCACUCUGAUUAACACAAGAAUUAUCAUAUUAUUUUUCCCUAUUAAUUUCUCUAUUACUUUUCCCUUUUAAUGUGUGUUACGAUUACUCUCAGCACAAUGUCACUUAACUUUAUCUGGAACAGAUCUCCACAAGUUCAACAGCUAAAAGCAAAUGCUUGACUAGCUUUCAGAAGUCUUUCCUGAACUCAGCAAUUCUGAGACCAAAAUUUAGGCUGCAUUUGCAUGUCAUAAAAAUAACUGGUUUUCUGAAAUGUACAAAAUUCAGUCAACUGAAUCAAUCCACAGGAAGCCAAAUCAGUUUGACAGAUUUUUUUUUCAUUAAAUUGAUAGUGGUAUGUGUGUUGGUCAACCCUCCCUCACAAAGGAAAAAUGAGGUCAGGUGACAAGGUGUUCAGAUUUCUAGGACUGUGAUAAAUAAAACAACAGUUUCCAAUAAUAGCAUUCAGAAAUUAAAAAUCAAACUAUGACUGUAUUGAAAAACAUUGCAGGAGUUGCCUGGUGGCUUAGAGGUUAAGGAUUUGGCAUUAUCACCACUGUGGCACAGGUUUAACCUCUGGCCCAGGAACUUCUGCAUGCAGCAAGUGUGGCCAGACAAUAAAUAAAUAGAAAAACAUUAUACAACUUUCACAGAGGGAAGACAAGAAAGGAAAUGGACUUAAAUGCCAAUAAAAGAGAUUCAAGCAAAAUCUUCCAGUCUGGAGGUUAGGAAAUGAUGAAGUAAAUUAGAGAGGGUGAGAUUGCAGAAAGUGUUCUUUGCUAUGAUAUAGUUUCCAGUCCACCAGAAUUUCCAAGUGAGGGAGAUGAUUUUCUGGAUCAUUCUCCCAGGAAGAAAAGGAAAUAACAGUGGUUUCCCAUUUUUCCUCAAACCAAGUUCAAACCAAGGCCUUUACACCACCUGACCCAUUCAACUGGACAGCUCUUGGUGCUUUUCCACUCUCCUUUCCCUUCCUCAGAUAACCUAUAUUUUCCUAUUCUUCACACCUUUGGUCAAGAAGGCCUUCUUGGAGUUCCUCUUGUGGUUCAGUGGUAAUGAACCCGAUUAGCAUCCAUGAGGAUGGGAUUUGAUCCCUGACCCUGCUCAGUGGAUUAAGGAUCUGGUGUU